rnacentral:rRNA from 1 species
UACGUAGGGGGCAAGCGUUGUCCGGAUUUAUUGGGCGUAAAGAGCUCGUAGGUGGUUCGGUAAGUCGGAUGUGAAAUCUCCAGGCUCAACCUGGAGGGGUCAUUCGAUACUGCCGUGACUAGAGGUCGGUAGGGGAGUGUGGAAUUCCUGGUGGAGCGGUGAAAUGCGCAGAGAUCAGGAGGAACACCCGUAGCGAAGGCGGCACUCUGGGCCGAUACUGACGCUGAGGCGCGAAAGCCAGGGGAGCAAACGGG